rnacentral:rRNA from 1 species
UCCUACGGGAGGCUGCAGUAAGGAAUAUUGGUCAAUGGACGCAAGUCUGAACCAGCCAUGCCGCGUGGAGGAUGAAGGCCCUCUGGGUUGUAAACUUCUUUUAUCUGGGAAGAAACCCAUCUUUUCUAAGGUGGUUGACGGUACCAGAUGAAUAAGCACCGGCUAACUCCGUGCCAGCAGCCGCGGUAAUACGGAGGGUGCAAGCGUUAUCCGGAUUCACUGGGUUUAAAGGGUGCGUAGGUGGGCAGGUAAGUCAGUGGGGAAAUCUCUGGGCUUAACCCAGAAACUGCCGUUGAUACUAUCUGUCUUGAAUAUAGUGGAGGUGAGCGGAAUAUGUCAUGUAGCGGUGAAAUGCUUAGAUAUGACAUAGAACACCCAUUGCGAAGGCAGCUCGCUACACUAUUAUUGACACUGAGGCACGAAAGCGUGGGGAUCAAACAGGAUUAGAUACCCCUGUAGUCC